rnacentral:tRNA from 1 species
GCCUGGGUAGCUCAGCUGGUAGAGCACUGCACUGAAAAUGCAGGUGUCGGUGGUUCAAGGCCGCCCCCAGGCACCA